rnacentral:lncRNA from 1 species
ACUCCCUCCGUCCCAAUAAAAGUGGCAACUUUUAUUUGGGCACGGAGAUUAAGAAACUUGGUGUUAUGAGUUAAUUGAGUGUGGUCCACCAAGUUUAAUGGAAUAAUUACUUUCACCAUCUGACUUCUUCUCCUUCUCACUGCACCUGGACGCCGGCGACGGCGGCGGCGGCGCCGGCGACGGCGGUCGCCCCUCACCUACGUCGAGCUCUCUCCCUCCUGUCGAACCAGCCCCCAAAUCGCGCCACCAUAUCUGGUUGCUCACCCCCAAAUCGCCCCAAAUCGGAGCCAAAAAACCAAAUUGCAGAGCCCCCAAAUCAAAAACCAAAAAAGGAAAGAGACAACCCAAUCGAUACUCCGUUGCUCACCCCAAAAUCGCCCCAAAUCGGAGCCCUAGGCCCCCAAAUCGAUUACCAGCUGCUCGCCCCAAAUCGGAGCCCUAGGCCCCCAAAUCGAUACUCCGCAGCUCGCCCAAAUCGGAGCCGUGUGAAGAGAGAGCAGAGAGAGGGAGAUGAGCAGAGAUGAGAGAGAGAGACGAGAUA